AAGGUAACGUUUUUUAUACAUCCCAUUAGUGUAUUAAAGACCGUUGUCGCAAAACGUGCAUAAACGUGCGUUUACAGAGUUUUUAAUAAUCUAUUUACUAGGAUUCAAUUUGUUAUAAAUAACCUAAAUAAAUACAACACCUACUCCUAAACCAUAGACGAAUACAAGAAAUUUUUAAUUUUUAAAAUGAUUGAGAAGCCCUAAAUUUAUAAUAUUUGUAAUUCGAUAUAUCAUAUUACACUAUGGACAAUAUAUUUGGAAAAGAAGACUCUGGAAAUGAAAGCGAGCAUAUAGAUGUUGACGAAAAGGAAGAAAAAGUUAGCCCUUCGCAAGAUUCUGUAAUCAAAGAUGUAGAAACGGUGGAUGUUGAUAAUAUACAAGUUAAGGUAGAAUUUGAUGCAAUGAGUUCACAGUCACAGUCGGAUGGAGAAGAAAUAGAAAAUAACUUGUUAUGUGACGAAGUCACAGAAUUGGAAGAUCAAUUGGAAAUUGUUAAACAUGAAAUUGAAUGUAGAGAAGAAGAACAAGCUAGGGAAGAUAUAUUCGAAAAUGACAUAGUAUUGCCUCAUGCAACUCCAACAAGUGUUAAAGAAAGAAGAGAAAGUAAAGAGAAAAGUAAAAAAGAAUUAGAAGAAGAAGAAAGAGAAAGGAUGCAAGUACUAGUGUCAAAUUUUACGGAGGAUCAAUUGGACAGAUAUGAAAUGUAUAGAAGAGCAGCUUUUCCAAAAGCUGCGAUAAAAAGAAUCAUGCAAACUAUAACAGGUUGUUCAGUGUCACAGAAUGUGGUCAUUGCUAUGUCCGGUAUUGCAAAAGUGUUUGUUGGAGAAAUAGUAGAAGAAGCUCUUGACGUUAUGGAAGAUCAUCAGGAAUCAGGUCCUUUACAACCAAAACAUUUAAGAGAAGCAGUUAGAAGAUUAAGACUUCAAGGACAAAUUCCAAAUGGUCGUGCUAAUAAAACAUUCUUCCGAUUAUAAGUAUUCUUUAGCAUAAUUAUUUAAAACUGUGAUUUAAAACAAAUGUCUUUAAUAGGUUAAAAAGUUGGGUAAAUAUUUUUGCAUAAAAAGGUAUGAUAUAUACCUUAUUAAAGUUAUUCAAGUGAGAACAAAUACAGCUUCUCAUACAUGCAUACACACAUAGAGACAUACAGUUUAGAACAUAAAAUGUAUGUUUGCUAUUGAUUAUAUAAUUAUAUCAUUGUCUUAUAUUAUUAGUAUUGCUUCCGUCAAAAUGGCUUUCUCACGUUUCUCUAUUUUCUACCAUUGUUUGGUAUUAUCAAACGAAAUUUUACAAUAGCGUGCGAGGAUUAAUAUAUUUAUGUUUAAACUAGUUUCAAGUUAUAAAGAGAAUAAAUCACAAUAAAAUAUCCAAAUAUAACAACGUGAAAUGGAUAAAUUAAUAAUUAUGUAAAGAUGAUUUACAAUUUUAUGUUUUUUUUUUUUUUUUUUAAUGAGAUACGAAUUAUUAAAGAAAUUGAAGAUAAAAUAUUUCACAUUUAUAUCGUCUCAUUUGUUAAAUUAGGAGAAAUCAAAUUCAUCAAUGAAUAUAUUAUUUUUAUAUUUUUAUAUCAAUUUAAUAACAAAAUAUUUUUAUUAUGCAAACAUAUUUCUAUAAGUGAAAUAAUACUUGCAUUAUAUUACGCCUCUUUUAAAUAUUAAUUAGUAUUUAUAAUAUUGAUAUGUAAUAGCAUUCAUUUCAUAUUGUUAUUUUCUGGCUUUUAAUACUUCUUAGUAGUAGUAAUUGAUGAACACAGUCAAUUGUUUUAUUUUAACUAACUAAAUAUACUAUAUGUAUAUACGACUAUCACAUAUCCUGCAUAUAUAGGUGAAACUGUCAGAUAAAAUGCGAUUUAUUUCAUCAUUCAUAUUACUUUUAAUCAAUUUGACCUAUUAAUGUAUAAUUUCAUUUAACUGAUGAAGCAUUGUGAGCGAUUAAUUUAAUAUGUAUUUUUUACCCACGUUGUUAUUAGUAUGCAUUAUUUUAGAGAAGUCUGAUAAUGGUAUUAAAUUUGGAGAGUUGUAUACCUUUAAAUCAAAGGAAAAUACUCUAACGUUUAAUUCAAAUUCUUUGAAUGCUAAUACAAUUCAUAAAUGUUCGGUCAAAUAGUACCGCAACGGAAUGAUAAAGGAUGUUAUCAUAGUCCAUUUUACUGUAAAACUCUAACAAACCGUCGGCGCAAGUUACUUAGUUAUUUAAAUAAAAUGCUUUAUGAAAAUCCUACAAUGAGUGUGGAGUUACAUGAAAAG